rnacentral:ncRNA from 1 species
CAAAAUAGGACUCUGUGCGUCAAGUGUUCAGUGGAUGGGGAGUUGUCGCCGAAACGAAAAGCCUUUGGUUUACGAUACAGGGUUCGCACCCGUUG